UUCAGUAUUGAUGUAGAUCCUUUUGAGGUAUUUAUGGUAGGCGUUGUCGCUUUCCAGUGGGUUGGUUUGAUGUUUCAGAGGUGAGACCUCGAGGGAGGGACUUUCUUCGUAAGUCUUUGGAUAGAGUACGAGUCAUUUAGGAUAGACUUAGAGCAGCUCAGAGUAGACAUAAGUGUUAUGAUGAUCGUAGACUUCAUACCUUGAGAUUUGGUG
rnacentral:lncRNA from 1 species